rnacentral:rRNA from 1 species
UACGUAGGGGGCAAGCGUUGUCCGGAAUCAUUGGGCGUAAAGCUCACGUAGGCGGCCCUGUAAGUCCGUUGUGAAAGUCAAAGGCUCAACCUUUGAAUGCCGAUGGAUACUGCAGGGCUAGAGUCCGGAAGAGGCGAGUGGAAUUCCUGGUGUAGCGGUGAAAUGCGUAGAGAUGGGGGAGAACACUCGUGGCGAAGGCGGCCAGCUAGACCAGUUCUGACACUGAGGCGCGAUAGCGUGGGGGGCAAACAGG